rnacentral:rRNA from 1 species
AGAGUUUGAUCAUGGCUCAGAAUCAACGCUGGCGGCGUGCCUCAGACAUGCAAGUCGAACGCGAAAGUCCCCUUCGGGGGACAAGUAGAGUGGCGUCCGGGUGAGUAACACGUAGGUAAUCUACCUUCGGGUGGGGAAUAACGCAGGGAAACUUGCGCUAAUACCGCAUAAUGCAGCGGCACCACAUGGUGACAGUUGUUAAAGCGGGGGAUUUUCGAACCUCGCGCCUGAAGAGGAGCCUGCGGCAGAUUAGCUAGUUGGUAGGGUAACGGCUUACCAAGGCGACGAUCUGUAGCCGGCCUGAGAGGGCGGUCGGCCACACUGACACUGACAUACGGGUCAGACUCCUACGGGAGGCAGCAGUCGGGAAUUUUGGGCAAUGGGCGAAAGCCUGACCCAGCAACGCCGCGUGAAGGAUGAAAUCCCUCGGGAUGUAAACUUCGCAAGAGUGGGAAGAAUUAGCGAGUAUUAAUACUGCUCGUGAUGACGGUACCAUUUGUAAGCUCCGGCUAACUCCGUGCCAGCAGCCGCGGUA